AUGAACGCUAGCUACAGGCUUAACACAUGCAAGUCGAGGGGCAGCAUGGUCUUAGCUUGCUAAGGCCGAUGGCGACCGGCGCACGGGUGAGUAACACGUAUCCAACCUGCCGUCUACUCUUGGACAGCCUUCUGAAAGGAAGAUUAAUACAAGAUGGCAUCAUGAGUCCGCAUGUUCACAUGAUUAAAGGUAUUCCGGUAGACGAUGGGGAUGCGUUCCAUUAGAUAGUAGGCGGGGUAACGGCCCACCUAGUCUUCGAUGGAUAGGGGUUCUGAGAGGAAGGUCCCCCACAUUGGAACUGAGACACGGUCCAAACUCCUACGGGAGGCAGCAGUGAGGAAUAUUGGUCAAUGGGCGAGAGCCUGAACCAGCCAAGUAGCGUGAAGGAUGACUGCCCUAUGGGUUGUAAACUUCUUUUAUAAAGGAAUAAAGUCGGGUAUGGAUACCCGUUUGCAUGUACUUUAUGAAUAAGGAUCGGCUAACUCCGUGCCAGCAGCCGCGGUAAUACGGAGGAUCCGAGCGUUAUCCGGAUUUAUUGGGUUUAAAGGGAGCGUAGAUGGAUGUUUAAGUCAGUUGUGAAAGUUUGCGGCUCAACCGUAAAAUUGCAGUUGAUACUGGAUAUCUUGAGUGCAGUUGAGGCAGGCGGAAUUCGUGGUGUAGCGGUGAAAUGCUUAGAUAUCACGAAGAACUCCGAUUGCGAAGGCAGCCUGCUAAGCUGCAACUGACAUUGAGGCUCGAAAGUGUGGGUAUCAAACAGGAUUAGAUACCCUGGUAGUCCACACGGUAAACGAUGAAUACUCGCUGUUUGCGAUAUACUGCAAGCGGCCAAGCGAAAGCGUUAAGUAUUCCACCUGGGGAGUACGCCGGCAACGGUGAAACUCAAAGGAAUUGACGGGGGCCCGCACAAGCGGAGGAACAUGUGGUUUAAUUCGAUGAUACGCGAGGAACCUUACCCGGGCUUAAAUUGCAGAUGAAUUACGGUGAAAGCCGUAAGCCGCAAGGCAUCUGUGAAGGUGCUGCAUGGUUGUCGUCAGCUCGUGCCGUGAGGUGUCGGCUUAAGUGCCAUAACGAGCGCAACCCUUGUUGUCAGUUACUAACAGGUUCCGCUGAGGACUCUGACAAGACUGCCAUCGUAAGAUGUGAGGAAGGUGGGGAUGACGUCAAAUCAGCACGGCCCUUACGUCCGGGGCUACACACGUGUUACAAUGGAGGGUACAGAGGGCCGCUACCACGCGAGUGGAUGCCAAUCCCAAAAACCUCUCUCAGUUCGGACUGGAGUCUGCAACCCGACUCCACGAAGCUGGAUUCGCUAGUAAUCGCGCAUCAGCCACGGCGCGGUGAAUACGUUCCCGGGCCUUGUACACACCGCCCGUCAAGCCAUGGGAGCCGGGGGUACCUGAAGUGCGUAACCGCGAGGAGCGCCCUAGGGUAAAACUGGUGACUGGGGCU
rnacentral:rRNA from 1 species